AGUGAACGCUGGCGGUAGGCCUAACACAUGCAAGUCGAACGGCAGCACAGGAGAGCUUGCUCUCUGGGUGGCGAGUGGCGGACGGGUGAGGAAUACAUCGGAAUCUGCCCAGUCGUGGGGGAUAACGUAGGGAAACUUACGCUAAUACCGCAUACGACCUUCGGGUGAAAGAGGGGGAUCGCAAGACCUCUCGCGAUUGGAUGAGCCGAUGUCGGAUUAGCUAGUUGGCGGGGUAAUGGCCCACCAAGGCGACGAUCCGUAGCUGGUCUGAGAGGAUGAUCAGCCACACUGGAACUGAGACACGGUCCAGACUCCUACGGGAGGCAGCAGUGGGGAAUAUUGGACAAUGGGCGCAAGCCUGAUCCAGCCAUACCGCGUGGGUGAAGAAGGCCUUCGGGUUGUAAAGCCCUUUUGUUGGGAAAGAAAUCUUUCAGGCUAAUACCCUGGAGGAUGACGGUACCCAAAGAAUAAGCACCGGCUAACUUCGUG
rnacentral:rRNA from 1 species